UCGGCGGCGGAGUGGGAACCUGGGCCGUCGAGUUGGGGGAGCUGCCGGCGGUCUAUCAGACAACUCCCUGGGAGGCGGCAGCAGGCAGACGGGCGGGUACUGGGAACUGAGCGGCAGGCCGUCCCCGCGGGUCUGUGAAGGAGGUCGGUGGCCCUAGCGGGCUCCAGUCAGCUUUAAGAAAAAAAAUAAGAAAUCACUUCUGACUGUACUGAAUAGCAAAAAUUAAGUGACUGCAAACCAUGGCACUAUCGUUCCGGAAGGACUUAGAAAAGUACAAGGACGUUGAUGAAGAUGAACUCCUUGGGAAUCUAUCAGAAAUAGAACUGAAACAACUGGAAACUGUGCUGGAUGAUCUUGACCCUGAGAAUGCCCUUCUGCCUGCAGGGUUCCGGCAGAAGAACCAGACAUCAAAGUCUGCCACAGGGCCAUUUGAUAGAGAACACCUCCUUUCAUAUCUGGAGAAGGAAGCUUUGGAGCAUAAGGACAGGGAAGACUAUGUGCCCUACACUGGAGAAAAAAAAGGGAAGAUAUUUAUCCCUAAGCAGAAACCUGUGCAGACUUUUACAGAAGAAAAAGUAUCUCUUGAUCCAGAGCUAGAAGAAGCUUUGACAAGUGCUUCUGAUACAGAAUUGUGUGAUCUCGCAGCUAUUCUUGGGAUGCACAAUUUGAUAACGAAUACACAGUUCUGCAAUAUAGUGGGAAGUAGUAAUGGUGUCGACCAAGAACAUUUUUCAAAUGUGGUAAAAGGUGAAAAGAUUCUUCCAGUAUUUGAUGAGCCCCCAAAUCCAACUAAUGUUGAAGAGAGUUUACAGAGAAUUAAAGAAAAUGAUGUUCGUCUUGUUGAAGUUAAUUUGAAUAAUAUAAAGAAUAUCCCAAUUCCCACCCUAAAAGAUUUUGCGAAGGCUUUGGAAACCAACACACAUGUGAAAUAUUUCAGUCUUGCAGCCACCCGAAGCAAUGACCCCGUUGCUGUUGCUUUUGCAGAGAUGCUAAGAGUGAACAAAAAUUUGAAGAGCUUAAAUAUGGAGUCCAACUUUAUUACAGGAGCUGGGAUUCUAGCACUGAUUGAUGCUUUGAGAGAUAAUGAAACCCUGGCUGAGCUGAAAAUCGACAAUCAGAGGCAGCAGUUGGGGACGGCUGUAGAAUUGGAAAUGGCCAAGAUGCUUGAGGAAAAUACCAAUAUCCUUAAAUUUGGGUAUCAGUUUACGCAGCAGGGACCCCGAACCAGGGCAGCUAAUGCUAUAACAAAAAAUAAUGACUUAGUCUCAACUUUUCAUUGAAAUAAUCCUACCUACUCGCCAUCUCUUCAGCUAAGGAGUAUCACGGCUAUAACAGCAAAGAGGUUAUAUGGUUUCGCAAGAGACGAGUUGAAGGAGACCACCAGUAAGUCUGCCAACAUAUAAUCUUUGGAAGACUUCGAAAGUUUGCCAAGGGCCCGUGUUGUGAUAUCAGAUGUAAAAUUUUCCUCGGGAGAAGGGAAAAGACUGGAAAUUCUUUUUUUUUUUUUUUAACUACAUGUAUCUUUUACCUAGUUUAAGUUGUUACCAGUUUCAAAUUGUAAAUCACUAGUAGGUGAUAUUUUGUAUUCUAAAGUAUUAUUUCUACUUUCUGCUAAAAUCAAUUUUAAUUUAGCUUAAUUAAAUGGUUUAUGAUGAGUCUUGGGUUAAAAAAAUACAAUUAUAAAAAAGUUUAGGAAGUCAUUUAUGUAGAAUAAUAUGAACAUUCUAAGGACCAAUCUUUUUUUAAGUCAAAAAGGGACAUUGCUGAUGUCAGAAUUGUUGUUGCACCUCUUAGGUACAAGGAACUUCAAAGCUUUCCUUAUUCCAUGGCAAGGAGACUUUUUUCCAAGUUUCAUAACACAUGAACUUGGCAAGAGUAUGCUUUUUGCUUCUAUCAAGAAAGCGAAAUGCCAGCAUUUUAAAACAGAUGACUCAAAACCUGGUCAUCUGUUUUGGAGUCAAAGCAGAUCUCUAGGAGAGAGGAAGCAGUCGUCUCCUGUGCAUUCCACGGCACUGCACCUGUCCAAGGUGUCUCAGCAACACCUACAGUUUUUUUCAACAAAGUCAUCAGCUUGGCCAGGUUACACACUUUGUUUAAAAGUAUAGUUAGGUCUAAAUUCAUUACCGUUUUUCAUUGUAAUAAUGUGGGCGUUGUUAAAUUUUUGUGAAAGCUCAUAGUAAAAAAAAAAGCAUCUGAGUAGGAAAGCUAUUUUUUCUUCCCUGUAAAAGGCAUACAGCCAACUCUCAGUUAUUUAGGGUAAAAGAAAAAAGAAAGCUGUUGUUAAACAAACACAUGAAAUCAAAGUUAAUAAAUGGUGGAGCUUAAGUCAGAGGAGCAUGCAAAACAGUCCUUUAAAUUGAUGGUUACUGACGGUAAAUUAGAAACUGGCCUGGGUAUAAAUUAAGGAGCUGCACAGGCUAGUGAGACGUUCCUAUAUGCAACACAGAAUUGUCUGAAUGGUAUAUAAUCACCACUCACUACAGAUUUUCCCAACCAAUAAGGAAAAUGGCUGUUCUUGAUAAAUCUAACUUUUAUUAUCUGUUUCCUUUCAUCUUGUACUUUUUGGUCUACGUUGUAUAAAAGCAAUUUCUCAUAACACAAAAGUUGUCUUCCUGUCAUUCAAAGUAUUAAGGUGAACAGUUAAACGGUGGUCCUGUGGUGGGAAGACUACUCCAGAUCCAACAGUAUGAUAGACAAUUUGGGCCUGCAUUCAUGUCUUAUUUCAGGGCAGCCCCGGAGCAGGAGAUGGCAGAGGCGACACAGCUGCAGACGACAGGGGGCAAAGGAGUCUGAGCAGUCCUGGCCUCGACAGUUCAGGCCUGGGUGUAUCACUUACAGGGAGAUUUUUCUAAAGGAGGAAUCUCCUUCCAGAAUAGGGGAGAGGUCUAUUGUUAAUUUUUUUAAACUUCUUGAAAUUGAAUUAUAAAAUGUCUGCUCCUUUGUCUUGGGUUGGACAGUUUAUCUAAUGAGCUAGGCAGCUCCUUGCAUGCUACAGUAAUAAGCCUUCUUAACAGGCAAAAGCUUUCCUCAUGAGGAUUGAGUGUGUGUUUCUUUGGAAUCACUAUCCAUUGUUUGAAAGGGGCCAAAGAUUGACUUUGCACUGUACUGCUAUUCCCUUUCAGUUAUAGGGUGCUGGAGGUUUUUCCAAGUUAGCAAGUCAAGCUCACUCUCGCUCGCUCUCUCCCUCUUUCCUUUCAUAAAUGACUUUGGAAAUGCACUUGGUUUCAGAGACUGCACAGUUCCAGCAGGGUGGGGAGUCAGCAUGGAGCAGCUGUACAGAGCUACCAGUACACUUUUAGCAAGGCUUCCUUGCUUGCCCUGCCCUGUAAGUAAGUCAGUCAGUAAAUUGCUAAGUAUGUUACCCUUUCCUCCCCAAAGUUUGUUUUUAAAUAUAGGUAGGUAGGCCCCACCUAAAAUUGUGUGUUAUACUUGGGGCAAUAUCUUUUCCACUUAUUAUUUAUCAAAGUAUGAAGAAGUUGAGUGUUUUCCUUGUACCAUUCCAGUUCUGAGCUACAAUAGUUCAUUAUAUAAUUGAAGAAAAGAUUUCUUAAUAGAUAAGGGUGAACAUUCAUCUGAUUAAAUGCAGAAAAUCUUUCAAGAAUUGUAAUUACAAGGGAGAAAACUGAUGUUUACUUUGAUCUUUAAGAAUCUGGCACCUCUUACCCUUUUAGGAACUUUCAGUAUUUCUGUAUUUCUCUAAAAUUUUUUAUAACAGAUUGGAGUUGUGAAAUACUCUUGAUUUUUAAACCAAAGAUUUUCUAAGACUUUAAGUUUUUGUAGUGUAACCAAUUUAAACUUAUCUGGUUAUCUAAGCAAAGACUAUUCUUUGCAUUUUUAAAUUGCUGUUUUUUAAAAAGCUAAAUUUAAUUUCCCAUUUUAUAAAAUUUUAUAUUCAUAUUGGAAGUUCUAAUUUUUCCAGUUUGUCUACAUGAAAUUGUAUGUAUUAAAAAAUCAAUAUUAAUAAUAUUGAUAUUAUUAAAAUGGAUUUUGGUGCUGUAUACUUGUAGCUAAAGCCUAGUAGAAGUCUAAUUCACAGGUGAAAUACAUUUUCUAAGGGUGCGGUGCCUGUCGUUUAAAAGACCAAAUAAACAUUUUGUGUUUAAAAAAUUAGCAGAUUGUUGGAGAUUUUAAGGAGAAUUAUAUCUUGAUUGUUAAAUUGCAGAUUCUCGUUAUUUGAAUGAAAUAAUCCACAUACUUGCUUUGUGCAGUAGUUGUCCUCUGGAAAAGUUACAUGUAUAGAGCUUUGUAUAUUGUUUUUCCGUGGACAGCAUCUGAUAUUUUUUCAUUUAAAAAGGGGAGUCCAUGGUAUACUGAAAAUUAUAAAAGAAAAAAUGUUUUGAUAAAAUGUUAGUCAUGUUCUAUUGUACAUUAUAUUUAACCCUUGCUACCAUUAAAAUAAGAUUAAAUAAUU